UUCAAAUUCGUGCAGGCGGCCGAGGUCGCCGCCGCUAGGCGAUACCGCGCGGGGUCGCCGCCGAGCGACGCUAGGCCGUGGCGGGAGGGGCGCGAAGCCCUAGAGUCCGGCUGGAUUUGGAGGCUGUGGCUCUUUCCGCACCCCGGCGACCCCACCUCCGUUGAGGGUCUCGAGGGCCACGAAUACAUCGCGUGACCCUAGGGAUGCGUGGACCGCCAACAUCGCGCCAGUGCCGGCGACUCAGCCGCCGCCGCCGCGGUAGAUCCCGCCAGCGAGGACGAGGAGGCGACGACCCACCAACAAGGCACGUGCAGUUUUUCUUGUUCUUGGCUCGAUUUCUUAAAUCCAAGUGUUUGGGGAGCUUUUGGUUGGUUUGAUUCGUGCAAAGACCUGUGCUGAUGCUACUCCAUGAGUGAAUUUGAUUGAAUCAACAGGAGCACGAAGAAUCGAACCAAUUUCUUUUCGGGGAGAAAAAACUGCAUUCUUGCACGUGAUCUGAAAUUCCCGGAGUGUGAGUUCGAAUUGAGACAUGACUCUUUCGGGAUAGCUUACCAACUCCAUGGAGAUCACCUGUGCAAAGUUUGGGAGCGAUUCCUUUUGAUUUGGUCGAGUUUCAGGCAUUUUUCUCUUUAUCACGUCGUCCUCUUCCUGCUUCCUCCUCUAUUCGUUGCUCGCUGUUCUUGUCAGAUCCGGCAGAGCAAAGCUGUGGCCGGCGCGAGCAGGACGGGUAUCCAGCGAGGGAGUGUGGCAGCCACCAUCCCAUCUCCGACAUUUACGAUAUUUUGGCCGGCUGCAGCUGCUAAGCCAUUUGGCUGUAAACCUAAGCACCUGCGGUUACAAAGCAAAGACCAAACGUGCACCCGUAGUGCUGCAGCAGUACUGCCGAACAGGUAUAUUUGUAUUUCCAUUGCCUCUUCAAAUCAUUCUUUUGCCAUCAAGGGGAUUCAUUGAUGGUCCGUUGAUUUUCUAUUGGCACAGAGACAUGUAUGGAAAAAUAAUAUCUUUGAGUUAGUUAGAAGCAAGGAAAAAUGACAAGGUCCAUCUGUGUUGGAUUAUUAUGGACAUGCCUACUCAGAAACGGCCGGCGCUUAGCGAUAUCACCAACAUCCAAGACAGAGGCACUUAGCGGUAUCACCAACAUCCAAGACAAUGUGCCUUUGGUAAUGACCCUGAUGGUUGCUGGAUAAACAAUCCUGGCACACAUGCUAGCUGGGCACACAAUGUGCCUAUCAGUAGAAGGGCGGCGCACGGCGCUCCCGCGGCGGCACAGGCGGGUCGAAGCGGCGGCGUGGCGGCGUUCCGGCGAGUACACCGGCGAACGUGCAGAUGUAAAGCGAGCAUGAGCAUUGGGGACCCAUGGGGAUUCGGUUUUUAUAACUAGCUCGAGCGGAGGGAGGUCGAGGUGAGCCGGUGACGUGGAGGCGGAGCUUGGGCGGACGGUGGCAAUGUUGGCGUGGUUAUUUACUCGGGCUCCUGAUCUUAUCAUAGCCCUGUAUGUAUUUUUUUGAGUAGAAUUAUAUGGUGCUGCACUUAAAUAUGUUUAUUUUAUUAACCCGUAGCAUUAGCACGGGCCAACUUACUAGUCAAUACAAGUUCUUCAAGAAUGAGUUAAAUU